rnacentral:rRNA from 1 species
UACGAACUGUGCAAACGUUAUUCGGAAUCACUGGGCUUACAGGGUGCGUAGGCGGCCAGACAAGUAGGGUGUGAAAGCCCCCGGCUUAACCGGGGAAUUGCGCCCUAAACUGUAUGGCUGGAGUGAGAUAGGGGUGUGCGGAACUUCCGGUGGAGCGGUGAAAUGUGUUGAUAUCGGAAGGAACGCCGGUGGCGAAAGCGGCACACUGGAUCUCAACUGACGCUGAGGCACGAAAGCCAGGGGAGCGAACGGG